AUUGAACGCUGGCAGCAUGCCUUACACAUGCAAGUCGAACGGUAACGCGGGGCAACCUGGCGACGAGUGGCGAACGGGUGAGUAAUGCAUCGGAACGUGCCCAGUAGUGGGGGAUAGCCCGGCGAAAGCCGGAUUAAUACCGCAUACGACCUACGGGUGAAAGCGGGGGACCGCAAGGCCUCGCGCUAUUUGAGCGGCCGAUGUCAGAUUAGGUUGUUGGUGAGGUAAAGGCUCACCAAGCCGACGAUCUGUAGCUGGUCUGAGAGGACGACCAGCCACACUGGGACUGAGACACGGCCCAGACUCCUACGGGAGGCAGCAGUGGGGAAUUUUGGAAAAUGGGCGCAAGCCUGAUCCAGCCAUGCCGCGUGCGGGAAGAAGGCCUUCGGGUUGUAAACCGCUUUUGUCGGGGAAGAAAUCUUCUGGGCUAAUACCCCGGGAGGAUGACGGUACCCGAAGAAUAAGCACCGGCUAACUACGUGCCAGCCGCCGCGGUAAUAC
rnacentral:rRNA from 1 species